rnacentral:lncRNA from 1 species
GUUUUUGAAUGUAAUAGGGUAGUUAUAACAAAAGGAGUGAAUUUUGUCGGAAAAGAAUUUUUAAGUGAUGGUUUAUUUAAAUUAUAUGUAUCUUCUGUUUCUAUUAAUGAAAGUGCUCUUGUUAUGAAUGUUAUUUCUCCUAAUAUUUGGCAUGAAAGAUUGGGACAUGUAAAUUUUAAUACUAUCAAAAGGUUGAUGCAUCUUAAUUUGAUUCAUAAAUUUGAUUUACUUGAUCAUAAAUGUGAAAUAUGUGUGCAAGUUAAAGAGCCUAGGAAACCAUUUAAAUCUGUGGAUAGAGAUUGUGAUCUUUUAGAAUUGGUGCACUUUGUGAUGGAAGUAGACCUAGUAGAGGUGGAAAUAAAUAUUUUAUGACAUUUAUAAAUGAUCAAUCAAAGUAUUGUUAUGUUUACUUGAUAAAAUCUAAAGAUGAGAUUUUAAGCAGAUUCAAGAUUUACAAGGCUGAAGUUGAAAAUUAAUGAGAUAAGAAAAUCAAAAUUUUGAGAUUUGAUCGAGGUGGUGAAUAUAUUUCGAAUAAGAUGAUUGCUUUCUGUCAAGAGUUUGAAAUUGUGUAUCAGGUGACUGCUCCUUAUACAGCUCAAUCUAAUGUAGUUGAUGAAUGUAAGAAUAGGACUUUGAUGGAUAUGGUGCACUCGAUGAUUAUUAGUUCAUGCGCACCUGAGUACUUGUGGGGGGAUUUUAACGGCUGGGAUGUAAUUACAAUAAAAUCAAGAGAUUAGGCACUCAAUUGCAAAAAAAAAUGUUGGGGACCCAAGUAAAAAUUGGUGCAAAGGUUGGGGACCAACGUGUGUAAUUAACCCUUAAUUUUCAUUGAGAAACUAAAGAUUGAAUAACAGAAUUCCAAUAGGAGAAGUAUUGUGUGUCCUCUUGCAAUCCCUUAUAUUCAGUAAAAUAUAUUUUUUCCUAUCUUCUGUUUUGACCCGAUGUUUGUUUCAUAUUCAAAAGAUUUCUAAAUCUUUCUUCUUCCUUUUGUUCCUUGUUUGGGAAACGAUGAUUGUUUUCUAAAGUUGGUUUAAGGACCUUGGUUGAAAGUAGGAAUUUAAAUGUCUAUAAGCACGAGCCGUAUUCACCGUAUCGUAUCGUGUCAACAAGAUAUCGGUAUUAUACAAUUCUUGUGGCGAUGACAAAGCUCAAAUCUUCUUUUCUUUAUAAAUUAAUUAGUACGUAAUGUUUUUUAAUAAAAUUCAAAAAAAUUUAUAAAGAUACAUAAUAAACAAUAACAAUUUUGUUGCUACAGAAAAUAAAUAAAUUUUGUUGCUACAGAAAUUCAUACCAUUAUAUGUCGGCACAUAUGUAUUUUUUUUUACCAGCACUCAUCGGUAGAUAUGUAUUUUUUUGAUCGGCACUCAUCGUGUAGUGUUCCUGAGCUUUGGAUAGGAUUGGCUUCAGUAUUUUAGACUGGUCGACAUCUCUGGAGAGUGUCGGACUGAGUCGGAGUCAAUUCUGCACGAAUUGGAUGCAGAAUUGGACUCGGCGCACUCAAAUAAGCAAAACUGGAGUUUUGCCAGAUUCGGGCGCCCAGAAAAUGUUUAGGGUCGCCCAGAAACGAGUGUUUAAUUUAACUGAAACUGGAAGCCAAUUCGGAUCCCAUGUUCCGGGCGCCCAGAAGUGGGUCCGGAAAUUUCACCUCGUAAAUAUCGCUUGCUUCGACGCGUGGCAGGGUGGUAGGUGAGUUCCGCCGGUGCCGUUUACGGGCGCAGCACACCGCGGGCGGAGAGUCCGAAGGGCCCGGUUUGUGCUGUCGGGAUGUUCUGGUCGCCCAGAACAUGUUUCCGGGCGCCCAGAAACGCCCGUUUCUGCAGGGACAGCAGAUUGCAAGCUUUGUUCUUGAGGUUCAUUUGAUCCUAUUUUCACUCUAUAAAUAGUUGGAAUGUGUCCCUUUGCUGCUCUUUUCUUCCCUCCUACACAGAGAAACCCCUUGUAGCAUCUCAAACCUCGGAUUUGCUUCAAAUUGCAUCAAAUGUCCAUUGAUCCAGCUUGAUGGUGUGCUGAUUCUGCAGUUCUUCAGCGACGACCUCCAGCGUUUUGGCUCGUGCGCGACGUAGGAAGGUCGGAUUUCAACGAAACUUGGUUUGCUGGAUUCUUGACUUUCAGAGGAAUCCACGAAGCCUUGAUUUGCAGAAUUUGGUGAAGGUUAGCUCAGUCGAACUCAGGUUUUCCUCUGCUGCUGUUGCUUUGGACAGAAUUUGCCAAUUUUUGAGUUUUCUUGGGGUGAACUUGGGAAGCAGGGGCUUUGUGGAGUUGAGCCAUUUUCCCUAUCACCCAGUACUGGAAUUGGGACCCUCUUCACCUGAUUUGGAGUUCGUUAGGUGAGUUUUGACAUUGGAAUUGAGAUAUUUAAGCUUAAGUGCUGUUUUGCUGAAAUUCAUCGUCGACUGUUAGUAUUUCAGCUCGUACUCGACGUAGGAGCAUCGGAUUUCGACGAAACUUGAUUCGUUAGUUUCGGGACUGCGAGAGGAAUCCACGAAGUCCUUACUUGUGGAUUUUGGUGAAGGUUAGCUUGGUCGAAACCCUUCUCUUCCUUGCUGCUGUGUAUUUGGACUGAAUUGUGGAUUUUGAUGUUGAUAGCUUGGAGAUAGCUUGAUUGUGAGACUCGGACAUUUUCCGUCGAUCCAGCAGGUUGUGCCACAGCCGAGGGAGUCCCGUGCUGCCAGGAAUUGCAUUAGAGGUGGGUUAUCAUCGGUUUCGCUCCUAAGUGCAUGUUAGUCAACGUGUAUGGUUCGAUUGUUGUAAAUCAUGCUCUAAUUCAUCGAUUAGCAUUUUUGAAUGUAAUAUGAAUGUAGAAGCAUGCUGAAAUGAAUAUUUAGAUUAUACAUGUUGGACUUGAAAUUUGACUUAGGAGAAAACCUGCGUUUUGACCCGUCAUAUGCUUAAACUACCAGAUUUAGCUCUAGGAGCCGUGUUUCGAUUGUAUCGUUGCCGUAUUAGUGCGAUGGAUACCUGGGGUAGUUUAGAUGGCAUUUACGCUCGUGCUGAGGUGCCGAGCUUAUUUUCAGCAGAGUAUAGGCUGUUUCGGGUCAUUGGGUGCCGUUCGGGUUAGCGGUGGACCCAGAUUCUUGUUUUGGUCACAGAUUGUGCCGAGGGCACGUGGGUUUGGUUUGUAGACCUGUUUUGACCCUGUUCACUUGACUUUGGCUAGUUGGAGCCUGUUUGAGCUCGACAGAGAUACGCUGCAUACUCGGUUGGGUAGCGCCCACGAGUGCCACUCCGGAGUCAGGCUUGUGCUUUUGCGUUGGUGUCGCUCACGCCAGUUGGACUUGCUCUCCACGGACCAGUUGUGUGGAUAGAGCCUGAUAGUCGCAACGGGGCAGGGACGGGUGUAUUCACAGUCCCGGGGACGGGUAUGCUUACAGUCCCGAUUGGAUUGGGUCAGAUUUGACAUUUCCUACAGUUGGUUAGUGUAGAGCAUGAUAGUGUAGUGAUUGAUAGCGGUAGAGUGUACUUCCUGCUUUUCCUACUAUUCUUGCUCCCUUCUGUAGACUUAGUGGGUGGACCGAUGUUGUUUUGGGCGGUACCCACUGAGGACUACUUGUUUUUACAGUAGUUCUCACGCCCAGUUGUUACCUAUGUUUUUGCAGAGCCACAGGUUCCGGCUGCUGCACCGUCUGCGGACCAGGAUCGAGGCAAGGGCGUCGCGAGUUAGAGCCCUACCCGACGUGCUGAGCUAGAGGUGCCCUACUGCAGGUAGAUGUUUUGUUUCGAGUUCAUGUACAUAGUAGACCUAACUCGCCAGUGCGAGUAGCUUUGUAUUUUGGAUUUGGACUAUGUAUAUGAAACUCAGCUGGUUUAGUUUCUGUUUUUUUUUAGCAGCUCUCUACUACUGUUCGUAGUAGUGUUUGAUUUACAGGUACAGCUAUCGCUACGUAUACAGGAAAAAUUCCUUUGUAUACGGCGGAUUUGUCGGCGUGCCCGGGGAAAGUAUAAUCCGGGGCGUGACACAUCGGCAGUCGGCACGGUCCGAUACACAUUGUGCUGCCAAGUUUUCGGCAUGGCAUUGUGCCACGACAUUUAAAUUCUUAAUUGAAAGCACUCCUACGCUAUUUUAUGUAAGAAGAUUUAAUCCAGGAUAAACGUAUAGGCUAAAAUAUAUAGAUUCUUUUUAUAAAUAUCUACUUUUAUAUUUUAGCUUUUUUCUUUCAAAAAAUAUCUAUUUUAUCUUUUAAAAAUUUAAAAUUGUACUGAACGUGCCUGACAUAAGUGCCAAAGGACUUGAUAGUUUGUAAUCAAAGUCUCAAAUUCGGAAUCUAAUUACUUUACAUUUUCAGUUAAAUUCACUUUUUUAAAAGAAAAAUUAACGAUGCAGGUGAUAUACUACCCUUCUCUUAAAAAAAUAUUUGAAGUUGUAGCAUUAGCCUAGCACCGUUACUAUUGUAUGGUUCAACCAAGUAAAUUAUUGAGAUACCCAUUAUUAUACUCUUAGAAAUUGUACGAAUAUAUAAAAAAAAUUUAUUUUUUCUAAGAUUAGAUAAUUUUAUGAAAGAGAUCUCUUACUAUUUAUUAUUUUUAAAGAUAAAAUGAGUAUAUCAGUAGUUACUCAAUUGUAUCAUACAAUGCGUGGAACAAUAACAAAAUAAUAAUAUCAUGAAUUUAAGUGCUCGCGCAAGAGCCAAAUCUAAAUAGCCAAGAAAAAAGAGGAAAUGAAGAAGACCAGUCUCCAAAUAUAAAUAUUUAGCAAAUAAAAGGACUUCUUUUUUUAAAAAAUAACCUUUAAAAAAUUUAUAAUAGGUGAAAUAAUUCUUUUAAAAUUUUAUUUAGCUAACUAACCUUCUUCUUUCCAACUCAGUGCCAUGUGUGAUAGAAAUGAGAAAAGUUGCGUUCACCGUCUUUAGAAAGCGGUAAAUUAUUUUCUGUUUUCGGAUUGUUAUUGUUAUCUAUAGAUUUUUUUUUUGUAUGAGUUGUAACUGACUUUUGUGAGAUUGUGAAGAUUGUAUCUAAAUUAUUAAAUUUUUUAUUUGAUUAUUAGGAUUGUAUUGAGCGGUUAUUAGAAUUUUUACAAUAUUAAGAUUUAUAUGAUUUUUUGAAAUUUUAUGUAGUAACUAAAAUUCUAUAUAAGAAAUAUAUAAAAAAAAAGACGUAUCGUUUACCGCUUUCUAUCUCAAGAAAAAGACACGUAAAUAAUUGAAUAUCUUCUAAAGUCUUUUCGACCAAUUAAAAUUAUAAAUAGAUUAUUUGACAAAUUAUAAAUUUCUUAAGGAUUUAUUUGAAAACAAAUUCAAAUGAAUUUAUCAAGCUUAGAAAUUGACCUUUUCUUAUAAUAAUCCUAUAAAAGUUUUAAAUUUGUCCAAUGAUCUUUUCAAAAUGUUAUGAUCUUGUCAAAUAAAUUUGUCAAAUAUUAUGAUCUUUUUGACCAAUUAAUUUUACAAAUGAUCUUGUCAAAAAAAUUUGUCAAAUGAUCUUUUAAUUUGUCAAAUGAUCUUUUUAAUUUGUCAAAAUUUUAAUUUCUCAUUCCACUAUAAGAGUGUGUUUGGUUCGAUGUCGGAAUUGGUAUCGAAAUCGGAAUGAGAAUAAGUUAGAAACAGAGUCGGGAUAAUUCAUUACCUCAUUGUAUAUAGUUCGCCACCUGAAUCGGAAUCAGAAUGAACCAUUUUCAUUGUCGGUGCUUGGUUCAGAUAGAUAUCAAAAACAUAAUCAAAUUAAUAUAUCAAUUUUAUCUUUAUAAUAUAUUAGUUUAAAUUCAAACUGAAAAUUAAAUGUUAAAAAUAUAGGUCAAAAUUUUAAAAUGAUGUCAAACUUUUAAAUAUUUUUUUUUAAAAUAUUAAAAUUUGAGAUUGAACGGAUAAUUCAAAAUAUAAAACUAAAUUUCGAUAUUCAAAUUCAAACCUUAAAUUAUAAUUUAAAUUUCAAUUUGAAUCUAUAAAUUUAAUUUAAAUUUUAAAUAAAAUUUGAAUAAAACUUUAGAUUUUAAAUUAUUAAGUUCAAAUUUAAAUUUAAAUUUAUAAAUAUAAUUUUUAAAUUUAAACUUAUAUUUUAAUUAAAAAAUAAAUUUAAAAAAAUUCAAUUUAAUCGAAAUAAAUCCAUUCUGUUCGGAUUUAAUUUCUAAUUCGGUUCUCCUAGGCGGAAUUGGAAUAAGGGGUUAUUAUAUGGAUAAACAGAUUAGUCAAUUCUGAUUCUUCUACGGAUCUUCAGGUAAAAAAAAGGGCAAACCAAACAGGUCUUACUUAAGCUUCAUCAGCUUCCGCAAGAAUAUAUUGCACACUCUACUGAAAUACUCAGGAUGCCUAAGUGGGUGCUCGUUGGAGAUCAACAAAAAGAUGAUUAAAACCGACCGUCUCUAGUGCAAGUGGCAAAAGGUUUGAUGGUUGAUACCCGAGGUCGCAAGUUCGAAUUCUAGUUGAUUCACAUUUGUAAUAAAGUUUUUUUCUAAAAUGAAAUAAAGGAAGCGAUAGUCUCACAAAAAAAAAAAAAAAACAAAAACAAAAAGAAGAGAGAAGAAUGAGCAAGAAGAAGAAGAAGAAGAAGAAGAAGAGGAGGAGGAAGAAGAAGAAGAGAGGUUCCUAUAUAUGCAAAUAUAUGUGAAAGUUAUUUUCGGGUUUGAAAACAUGAUGAACCCCUGUUGUAGAGGAAAUUAUGGAAAAGCCCCUCUCUCUCCCCUCCUACGCCCAUGCUCUCUUCUUCCUCUUCUUCUCCUCCGACCCCCGCACCACCUCUCCCUCCUCCGCUCUCUCUCCUCCCAUCCCCCACUCCCACCCCCACCCCCACAAACCCCAAUCCCAGUCCAAAUGCCAGUUCAAUCCCGAAACACCCCCCGCACCCCCUACGUGUUCGACGAAACGCCCCAACGAGACCUCUUCUCCUGCUCCGCCGUGAUCAACCUCCACCUCAAGAACGGCGACCUCGCGCGCGCCGAAUCGCUGUUUCGGCGAUUACCCGUGAGAAACGUGGUAGUCGAAUCGAUGAUGGUCGACGGGUACGUGAAAGCGGGUGAAAUUGAGGCGGCGAAGAGGCUGUUUGAUGAGAUGGGGGAAAGGAAUGUGGUGGCGUGGACGUGCAUGGUGUCCGGGUAUUGCAGCGCCGGGCGGGUGGAGGAGGCGCGGAGGUUGUUCGACGAAAUGCCGGCGAGGAACGUCGUGUCGUGGACGACGAUGGUGCUGGGCUACGCGCGGAACGGGCGGUUGUCGGACGCGCGUGAGCUGUUCGAUCGAAUGCCGGAGAGAAAUGUCGUCGCGUGGACGGCCAUGAUUAAGGGCUACGUCGAAAACGGUGAGACCGAGUGGGCGAGGAAAUUGUUCGAUCAAAUGCCGCAUAGGAAUCUGUAUUCUUGGAAUGUGAUGAUCUCAGCUUAUUUGGGCAGUAAGCAAGUGAAAGAAGCAAUCGAGUUGUUUGAGGAAAUGCCUUACAGGAAUGCUGUUUCCUGGACUACGAUGGUUUCUGGCCUAGCCCAAAAUGGGUUUAUCGGCAAAGCUCGCGAAUUCUUUGAUUUAAUGCCUAAAAAGGAUACUGCUGCAUGGAAUGCGAUGAUCACCGCUUAUACAAACGAAGGGCUUGUGAAUGAGGCAAGAGAGCUGUUUAAUAUAAUGCCAAAACAGAAUCUCGUGACUUGGAAUGCUAUGAUCGACGGGUAUGCAAAGAAUGAGUGUAAAGAGGAGGCAUCAAGGCUCUUCAGCGUCAUGCUUCAUGCUUCCUUAAGGCCAAAUGAGACUACUUUAACUAGCAUCUUAAUGACGUGUAGGAGCGCUAUAGAAAUCGGACAAAUUCAUGGACUAGCUAGUAAAAUUGGUUUUCAAUCUGAAACCUCACUGGGGAAUGCUUUAGUGACAAUGUACUCGAGAAGCGGUGAUUUAUCUUCAUCUUGGCUUGCUUUCAAGAGAUUGAAUUGCAAGGAUCUUUUUUCAUGGACAUCGAUUAUAUUAUCCUUUGCCGAUCAUGGAUGUGGUAAUUAUGCGUUGCAAGUGUUUGCGCAAAUGCUAAGACAGGGAUUUAAACCAGAUGAGAUUACCUUUGUUGGUGUAUUAUCCGCUUGUAGCCAUGUUGGCCUAGUAGAGAAAGGUAAAAAGAUCUUCGAGGCGAUUAAUGGGACUUAUGGGCUGGAACCGAUGGCCCAACACUAUACGGGCAUAGUGGACCUAUUGGGUCGUGCUGGGCUUGUUGAGGAAGCUAAGAAAGUGGUCGAUACGAUGCCGGUGAAAAUGCAGGAUGAGGCUGUUUUAGGGGCAUUGCUUGGAGCUUGCAAAGUGCAUAAUGAGAUAGAAGUGGCGAGGGAAGUGGGCGAGAAGCUUAUCGGACUUGGUUCAUUGGGCUCAGGAGGUUACACUCUUUUGGCUAAUUUAUAUGCUUCGCAUGGAAAUUGGAAUGAUGUGGCUCGAGUUAGAAGAACCAUGAAAGAGAGGAACGUGAAGAAAGUGGCGGGCUAUAGUUGUGUGGAAGUUAAGAUGGAGAAUCAUGUGUUUUUCGCGAGGGAUCAAAUGCACCAACAAGCAAAGGAGGUUUAUGAGAUGUUAAAAGAAAUGCUUCUCCCACAAAUGAAGGACUUGGGUAGCUUUGAGUUGGAUCAGCUUGUCCCUGAUUGAUCUUCAUUAAUUACCUUAUUGAAAACUCUUUCAUGGCCGCACAUGAGUCAAUAUUUGAUCAAACAUUUCACCCAAAUUCAUCAAUAGCUUGUUUGGGCCUUCUGGAACAUUUGCAUGAGUGCAGCUCGAGUCGAGUAAUUCGAUAAAGCAGUAACACCUUUCUUAUUAAAAUGUCCCCAACAGCUUACCCUCGCAGCAUAAGUAGAAGCUUCAUACUAGGACUCGCUUUUGAGGCUAAAGCUUAUUAUAGCUUCCAAUCGUAGUAAAAACUCUGGACAUUUUAUUUGCUAAAUCCCUGACUCUUGCUUUUCGGAGUGGAGAAAGAGUUCCAAAUGACUGGCCGAGUAGUCACGAAGCUCAGAGAACGUCUGAUAUGAAUUGGCUAUUGGCUUUGUAUUAUGCUUCAAAUAAUUACCGGCUGUCUAUAUAAGGCAAUCCCUUUUGCAUGGGCUAGGGAAGGUGUGAAUUAUUGUUAAUGUUUAAAUGAUUGUUGCCGUACAAUUCUACCGUGGGUUGCGAAAAUGUUAGAGAGGUCGGACCAUUGGAAUGUGGAAAUGGCGAUCACCCUACAGCAGCAGGUUCUGGGCUGUUGGAUGGGGAAAAUGGAGGGUUUUGAUGGAUUUUGUUCUAUAGAGACAUUACUCGAGUUUUAAGAGAAUGGCUCGUUGAAAGGCUUCUUCAAGAAAUUCUUGAACAGAUAGACGUGAGCAAAAAUGAUGAAUGAUUGAAUAUUACACUUCCACUCACUUCUGAGAAAACUUAAGGAUCAGUUGUAUGGAAGGAGGACAUUAUAAUGGAGAUUGACGUACUCUGCAGGUGAAAAAAGUUAAAUGAUGGGCUUAUCGAGAAAUGGUUUUCCUGGAUCUUUGGGUACAUGGAAAUGAAAGAUAGACUUCGUUGUUCCCCGUUUGUCUUGAAAAACAACACACAGUAAUAGCCUUAUAAUUCAGAAGAGGUCUGUAAAGUGAAAUUCAUCACCAUCAGGAGAAAAGAUUAACCAACAUUUUCAAAGGUACUUCACAAUAUACCACCCAAGUCCUCUUGCCAACUUUCUUUUAUUUGUAUUCUUUUUUAGAAUAAUCCUAUAGGAUUCACAUGCUAACUGUUUAAUGAUAAAGUAGGAGAGACAAAAGUGUUUGGUUUUUAAUUUACUAGUUGUAAAGAGUAUGAACAAACUUGUAAAAGUAGCACUCUCCUUGGUUUCUCUUGCUAACUGUUUAAUGGUAAAGUAGGAAGGACAAAGUGUGUGGGUCUUAAUUAGGUAGUUAUAGAAAGUAUGAACAAGCUUGUAAAAGUAGCAGUCUCCUGUGCAGAUCAAUAAAUUUGGAUCUUGAUGAUGUCAAUCAAUUCCUCUUGCUUUUCUUUUAUUUUUAUUUUUUUAUUUUUUGAAGCAGUGAAUCAUUUUAAAUUUGUUGGUCGGUGGGGAAAGCAAUUGGAAAAUGGGAGACAGCAAAUUAACAUUGUGAGCUAUGCAAAAGAAAUUGUGUGUGAACUAAUUGGGAUUAAACUUGAACUAAUUGGGAUGAACUUUUGAAGUCCAAUUUUAUGUUCAGUACGGAAAAAGAAUUAUUGAUAAUUCACCUUUCUUUGAGAGCUUAAACUUUUUGCAAAAUUCAGUAUUCAACAAAAUAGAUGGUCUUCUGUUGGAAUCGUUUGAUAGUUCUAGUCUUAUUAAGUCUCCUCCUAUCUAUUGUUGGACUACCUCUCAUGAGUUUGAAUUAACGUUUGCAAGUUAGCGGAAAUUUCAAUAGAAAUUAUUUUUAUUAUUAUUAUUAUUAUUAUUAUUUUGAGAGAUGAGCAUUGACAAGAAAGUUAUUUUGCUUGGCACUUAUUUCUUAAUCAUUUUGGAUUUAAAUUCUGAAUAACAUUUUUUUUUAAAGUUUGAUUUGGUUACACAGUUAUCACAGAAUUCGUCAAUUUUAUAUGAAUAAUACAUGGAUAGAAUAAGUACAGUACCGAAACUUCCUUUUAUUUAUUUAUUUAUUUAUUGUUAAAGCAUUGAACCUGAAGAGUUUUUCUUGUGGAGAAUGUACUUAAAAAAAAUCAUGUUCUCCACAAUAAAUAAAAUAAAAUUAAAAAAAAAUAAGCAUAAAAGUAAAGAGAAGAAAGAAAGAAAGAAAUAGCUAUAAAUUGUCUGAAUAAUUCUCAAUAGGUUGAAACUAAAACUCUAAUCAAGCUUCUCCCAAGGCUCUUCUACAACCAAACAAAAUUCAAAAAAAAAAAGGUUAAAAACAUAAGGUUGGGAGAGGCUGGUGGUUUAGGUGUCAAUUGUGUUUGGUUUGGUUGGGAUUAAGUCUUAGUCUUUUUAUUAUACUCUUAUGACUAGACUUCAUUGGUCCCCAUUUCAAAAAUUGAAAAUUCAUGCAUUAGAACAAUUGGCAAUUAUAUUCCAUUCCCCUUUUAAAAUUAUUGUUCUGUAGGAGCACUCCAAGCAACUAACUUUGAAAGUAUCCUAAUUAUCAGAUUGUGAGCUUAACAAUGCUAGAAUGUAAAUGACAGAGCAGAUGUAUUAUCUUUGGUUAGUAUUCAGCAAUCUUGAUCCAAUUCGAUGCAUAAGAUCUAUCAAUAGCAAUUUCUACUUUGUACGUAGAUUUUAUGGAUUAUUUAAGAGAGAGAAAAAAGAUGUACGUUACCAAAUUAUAUGAAGCAAACAGGUACAAUCUUGUGAAAAUUGAUUAUAUGUCGUAUUCCUCUAGCAUUCUUUAAAACGAGAAAUCAUUUAUUAAUUACUUAUCAUCCAAUCUUAUGAAUUUCCCAUACAUAUUCGCAUAAAAUUCAUCUCAUCUCUUCUCUUUUUUCUUCUCUUCUCUUCCCUUUUUUUUUUCUUUACACCCAAAAGGGCUAAUGAUAGGUGCAAUUCAUGAAAUUGAAUUUUGCAUUACAAAACUAUGUUCUUAUUCUCAAUAAAUUGCAUCAGAAACAACAAAGGGCAAGAGAAAAUAUACAAAGUACUUUGUUACUAUGUUUUGUUGGAGACUUACUAAAGCCCAUUUCACAUAUUCUUCAUGAUCUUUUCUAUGUGCAGAAGCAUCCUCUUCAAAGACCCUUCUCUUCUAAGAAAGGUAAGUUCCACAUACACCUGCACCAACCGCGCACGCGCCGCAGCCGCACCCCUUCCCACCGAUGAACACCGGCCCCCGAAUCUUCCCCUGCCUCCGCGACCGGAUGGGCUCAUCGAUGGACGAGAAGAUGAUCAUCGACAUGAUCGAAAGCCACACGAUGAUCACGCAGAAGAUCACGUCGCCGCGAUCUGGAGACUCGAAAACCAUGACCAUCUUAUUGCCUAAAAAUUUAUACUCCUUUGUUGUUGUUCACAGUGUUCAAAGAGAAGGGUCUUGUGUAUCUCUAUGUAUAUAGGCUAUUGAGAGGAGAUGUGGCCCCCCCUCAGUUUGUUACUACGCUUCUUGUAUUCAACUAUGAACAAUUACAUUUUUUAAUGUGGAAUUGACUGAGUGAACUACUUUGUGUUGCUUUGGAGGAUAUAAUACUAUAUCACCAUUUUUGACUUGGCCCAUCAUAUGUUCCAAAUAUCUACCCAUGUGUAUGUUAGAUAUGUUUCAAAUUCUUGACCGCGAGAUUUCCUAAUCCUAUCCUGUUUUGAUUAUUCUAUUAAGUUAAGUUUAGAUUAUACCUAAUCUCAUUAAGAUUAUUUUCAAUCUUAGUGAAUUUAUAUUUUUAAUUAUAUUAGGAUUUAGUCACUAUUAUAAAUAUAUCUUUAUUCUAUUGAUUUAGUGUGGCGGAUGAAAGCGAGUAUGGGUGUAUUUUUAUUUUUCUUCUCUUUUUCUUGAUUCUCUUUUGGUAUUUUUGCACCUAAUAAAUUUAUAUCUUUUCCGCUUUUGUCAUAACAAAUCGGUAUCAGAAAAAAUUUGAUAUCAGUGAAAGUCACACAUUUCUAACAGUAUAUACAUACUAAUACAUAAAUAUUUACCAUAAUUUUAUUUUGCUCCCUUUUGUUUUAAAGUAAGGCUCCGUUUGGAUAUUCCUGAAAACAAAGUAUAGUUAAACUAUACUACACUGGCAAGAAAAUUAUUCUGUGAAGCGUUUAGAAGAAAAAAAAUGACGUAAUUUUUGGAGUAUCAUUAAACUAUACUCCAAAAAACGGAUUGAAAUUAAAUUAGUUCAUUGUGUCAUCUGACACUAAUUUAACUAAUGAAAAGAUAACCUAAAUACUAGGAAUGUGGUUUUUGAAUUCACAUAUGCAAUAAAUACACGAAUUAGAGCUCACUUUGGAAAAAAAAAAAAAAAAAAAAAAAAAAAAAAAAAAAAAAAAAAACUGAUGGAUGAAUUUUUUAGAAUGAAGCUUAUUUUAAGGGAAAACUUCAAAAACCACCCAUGUGGUUUCACACUUUCUUACUUUAAUACUUUGUGGUUUAAAGUGUAUCAAUUUAGUGCCCUCUAUUUUUAGUUUUAUAUUUUUAUUAUCGAUUUCACUUAUUUUUUUUGUUAAAUCGGUGACAAUGUUAAAACUAAAGGGUACUAAAGCGAAUAUUCGAUAAACCUAGGUGGGCCAUCUGAAGUUUUUUGUAUAUAAUUUAAUGAAAUAUUAACGAAAAAGUUGACGAAAAGAUAAAAAUGAAACCACAGGAUAUUAACUUGAUACACUUUAAACCACAGGGCACUAACGUGAGAAAGCGUGAAACCACAGGGGUGGUAUUUGAAGUUUACCCUAAUUUUCUAAUCGUGAAUAGUGAUUUGUAUUUUGUUAUAUUUCAAAUGGUACGCCCCGUUUGGUUCAGGGAUAAAGUAGAGAUAACGAAAGUUAUCCCCGCUCUUCCGCCAAAUGGGAUGUUUUUGGGCGUAGAUAUUUUAUCCCGAAAUAUUGCUAUUCUUGGCUAUCCCGGAAUAGCUUGGGAUUUAUUAUUUCACGAUUUUGACGGAAUACUGCUAUUCAAAGGUUUAAUUUCAAGUUUUAUUAAAAUUAUAAAUUGAAUUAAAACUAAAUUAUAGAGACAUAAUAUGUUAUAUAUUAUAAUAUAUUAUUUUUAUUAUAAAAUCUAUUACUAUAUAUAAAAGUAGAACCCUUAAUGAACCCUAUGUGAGAAGCUGACACGUGGCUUUCUAUAUGCUUGCCACGUGUCAAAUUCAAAUAUGGAUAUUUGGUUACGAAUAGAUAUUUGGUUAUAAAAAAUAUCUGCCAUUUUUUUUUAUCUAAAUUGCCCUCAAAUAGUACGUAUCAAAUUUCACUUUUUAUAUGCAUAUCAUAUCUUCUAAUAACCGUCGCCCACAUAAUAUCAUAUUUAAAAAAAUAUAAUAUUAAUUAGAAUAAUUUUUUUAUCAUCCCAUAAUAACUUAUGUUAUUUUAUAUUAUUAUAUUAUCCGUGCAUAGCACGGGGUAAGUACUAGUUAUUAAUUAUACUACUUAAUUUAUUACUCUAAAUAAAUAUUCAAUUAGCUAUUUGAGAAUGAAAAAGGACGGGAAGGGGCUGAUUAGAUAGGGGAAAAGAAGAAAAAGCGCCUUAUAAUUAAUUUAUUAUUUUAAUUAAUUUGCUAAUUAAAUAAUUAAUUAUUUAUUCGUGUACUUAUUCAAUAACCAAUAUUUAUAUUGAUUAAUUAAUUAAUAUUUUGACUAAUUUAAUUAUCUGACUAUUAUUAUAUAACUAAUUUACUUAUUAAUUUAUUAGAUUACUUGUGAUUAAUUAAAUUAUUAAUUACUAAUUAACUUAUUAAUUAAUAUUUAGGGUUGUUUAGCAAUAUUCAUGAUUAAUUAGUAAAUUAAGUAAGUUGAAUUAUUAUUUAAUUAAAAUUUUUUAUUAAUUAAUUAGAUAAAAUAUUAUUAUAUUAAAAGUAUAAUUAUUCUUAUUCUUACUAUUCCGAUCUAACCAUCCAAAUGCUAUUUUACUUAUGUUCCCAAGAAAAAUUCAGUUUUUAUCUAAAUAUAAAAUUGAUUUUAUUCCUGCUUAUCCCAAGAGUUAUAUCUAUCCCAUAGAUAGCCUAAAAUAGUUUAUUCCCAAACCAAACGAUAGAACAUUUUGAAGUAGACUCCUCAUCAACUAUUUUUCAUAAGUACAACCGUGGGAAACUUAUCUAAACAAUGGACCAUUCGGAUUUGACUGCUUAACUUUUUAAAAUUUUGAUUUUACUAUCCAAUCUUUAAAUUUGUUUGAUUUGAAUCAAUCAGCGACACUUUGACUUCAAAAUUUAAAUGCGUCAUUUAUCUUUACAGCUUUAAUUAGUAUAUACACUACAACAGAAUUAGAUUAUAGGGACACAUAUUUGGGACACUUUUGUGUGAGUGUCCCAUUUAUAGUAAAAUUUUUAAAAAAAUCUACUAAUGCCUAAAUAUAAAGUCUAAUCCAAUCAAAAAUAAAAGGUUACUCUAUUCAACCCACCCCACCCAACCUAUUCGGCCCGUUUACAAACAUAAAUGAAAAAGAAAAAAAAAUCGAUUACCAUUUCUCCUUCUCCCCUCACUCAAUCGACUGAAAUCCUAGAUGAAGAUCCCUUCCUCUCGUCCUCCUCCGCCACCGUAGCGAACGAGGUAGAGUUCCGGCGGUUGCUAAAUACUUAAAUAAAUAUUGGUAAAUUGGCAGCACUCUUUUUAGGUUAUAGCGACACUCUUUAACUGUCACUAUAUACCUAGCGACCCCAUAUAUAGCAACACUUUUUAAAAGUAUCGGUAAUUUAGCCAGCAGCACUUUUUUUAACCUGUACCGAUAUUUAAAAGUGUUGCUAUAGACCAUUUUUGUUGUAGUGAUAUUUCAUGCAAUUCUCACCGUAUCGUUGAACUACUCAAAUCAAAUAAAUUGAAAGGUAUCUUUAUAUAGAUUUAGUUAGUAUGUUUUUUUCUUUGACUCCAUAUUAUGUUAAGUAUUCAUUUUCUAUAUUUCUAUUUUAAAUUAUUAUUGAUAUAUAAAGAAUAACUUUUUUUUUUGCAAUGCGUGCCCUAUAAUAAUAUAGUUAAGUUAUUAUAAAGGUGCCCAUACAUGGCAUGGAUACUAAUCUAGGGUACACGUAAAAAAGGACGCAUUAUCGUAUAGUCGUUGAAUGAUAACGUAUAAAAGUUGAUUAUAUGAUGCUCAUCUUAAUGUGCCAAAUAUAUAGGUCAAACAUUUACAUGAGUGAUAUAUAGAGUGGGAGAACUCUAAAAGGCAAACCUUUGAAUAAGAUAUUUAUUGGGAUAUACACCAAAGUCAUUUUCCUAUAGUCACUUAUGUAGUCAUUUUCCUGUAGAUCAUUUUCCUGUGAUUUACACCAAAGUCAUUUUCCUGUAGUCUAUUUAUUGGGAUAUACACCAAAGGCAUUUUCCUGUAGUCCAAUAUAUAAGAUAUUUUCCUGUGAAUAAGAUAUUAUUGGGAUAUACACAAGUCAUUUUCCUGUAGUCCUAUAUAUAUGGUUUUUGUUUUAAGAGAUAGGUAGCAUGCUAUUCGUUUCGUUUAUUUCAUUUAGAAAUAAACUUAGUUAGAAAUGUGAAUCAACCAGAAUUCGAACUUGGGACCUCGAGUACCAACCACCAAGUCUUUUGCCACUUGUGCUAGGGACAGUCGGUCUAUAUAUAUGUUGAUUGUGGAUCAAGCCCAUAGUUUAUGUUGAUUGUGGAGUCCAUAGUUUACGUUGGGGUACGUAGUUGAAUUUCUUAUUUCAAACAAUUAACAUCGUAGAUUUUUCAACUAUGAAAAGGCAAGGAAAAAAAAAUAUUAUAAUUGAAUAAGAAGGCAGGGCAUAGAAGAAAAUAUACCUGUGUGAGAAAAGUAAUGUUGUGAUAUCUAUUAACACUUUUACAGACAUUAAGAUAUACUUAAAAAAUUAAUAAUACCAUGCGGCCUACUGAAAAUAAUAUUAAAAAAGUUAUUUUUUACUAGAGAAUAAUAGUUGUUUCAUAUUAUUUUAGUAUGAUAUACCAGAAGGUCCUAAAUUCUAGUUUUGACAGGCUCUUAUUUUUUGUUAAUUUUCUCCUAUUUUUCUGUAAGUCAAAUUCCGCCAGAUUCCUAAUUAAUAACCGAUAUGCCACAUGUUUCCGCGUGAAUACUGCUUCAAGCAAGAUACCAUGAGGAGAAGCAUAGGAGCUUGUUUGGAAGGAAAAAAAAAAAGAGAAAAGAGAUAAGCGCUAAAUGCAUUAAAUGUGAAAAGUCCCUUUAAAAGUAAAAGCGCCUGAGUAUUUUGCACUUCGUUUUCAAUGAUGAAGCAUUCGAGCUACGUUCCAACUAACAGCAUUAAAUAUGAUCCAAGAUAUUUAAAAUUUUAUAUGAUUUCACGUAGAUCUUUGUCUUGAUAAUCUCGAGAUUCUCUCAGUAAUUCCAUAUUUAUUUGUCUUGGUAGUGGCUCUCUGUACAUAUCAUUUUAAUUAUUAUCCUACGGUUGGUGCAUUUGAGGGAUAGUUAUGAAUGGCAAGUUUGCAGGAAGUUAUAUUAACUUGACCCUCUACCCAAUUUCAGAGUAUUUAUUCCACUUGUAGCACCUUCUUUUGGGUAAAUUACAUUGGAGGUCCCUGUGAUGCUCCGAGUCCAUAAAUUGGGUCCGCUCGAGCACGUACAACAGACCCGCCGAAUGAGUAAAGUUUUUCUUAUUUAUACAAAGUGGAACAUAUACCAAUCUGUACAAGGCAUAAAAGAUAUGGAUACAAGAAGAAUCAGAGUGGGUUUAAUUGUAAAUAGGCCGUGUUGGUUGCCUCGGGCAGUGUGAACUGACUAUGCUGGCCCUCCGGACUAAUUGUCCUAGGUUCGAUGACUCUUGUGGAACUUGAAUAAGUUUUCGAUGCGAUUAUCGACAAACUUGACUGAUCGAUCACGGUUCGGUUCAAGAUUCAUAAUAAACCAAUAUGAAUGCCCUUUUUCUGUUGUCAAGGUUUCUAAGUUGGGUGCCCUCACUAUCUUGUGCUUCCAAAGGCAGUGGGAGGAUUGCAGUGGGUUUGAAGCCGAAUCAGCACUUCUAGCAGACCCAUUGUAGCGUAGUUUUGCUAAACGCACUAUUUAGCGUCAUUAUUGCAUACUGCUACCUGGACACCCAAAUUGGUAUAUUUCGAGACAGCUAGCAAGUAGUUUAUGGUAAUGGUUGAUACCCUCUGGGACACUUCGUAAGCUAUAGAAGUGUUUUCGAUGAGUUUCCGAGAAUUUCGACAGAUUUUGAGAAUCGAUAAAAGGAACCGAUUGCCCGAAGGUAUUUGGGAAGUGAGUUAAAUGACUUUUGGGUCACUUAGGUUAGGGUUAGACUAGAGUUAUGGAGUGGUUUGUAACUCCGUGGGAUCUUUCAUAGGUCCGAGUAAUGUUUAGGAGUAUCAGCAAAGUCAUAGGUGUUUCGCCUACUUUGAGGUAGGUGCUUCAUUCUGAAGUUAUUAAAGUGGUGUCUGCUCGGUGAUUUCUUCCCUUGUCAUCUCCUUUCGAUUACAUGAUACAUUUUGAGCACUUCGUACACCAGUUUGUAGCUUAUUUGCUCUACACUUGCUUUUAUCUCGUAUUUAUCAUGAUUUAGUUAUAGAGCGGCAUUCUAUUGUGUUGGAUAUUAUUGCAUGAUUAUAUAUGGUAGAUGACCUAUUAUAUGGUUGACCUGAUUGGUCAGUGACAUAGUGAUAUCUUUGAGAUAUAGUUGACCUGAUUGGUCAGUGACUUGCUGUUGAUCUCUCUUUCUUAGCUAUCUGCCGAUGGUUGGCUAUUAAGCAUAUAAUAUCGAUCGCCUCACCUCAUGACAUUAGCGGUUUUGUCACGCCGCGAGCCUGCCACUUUGGCCGAAUUCGGGCACGCCAACAGACUGCCAAACGGACAGGGUUUCCCCUGUACCGCGGACAGAAUCUCCCCUGUACGUCCAAGGCGUCACAAUCCAAACAAUGUGCAAGGUUCCAACCAGGAACAGUAUACAACAAAGAUUGCAUAAGGAAGGUAUCGAAACAUAAAUACAACUAAAUUAUUACAAUCAUUAAUCUCACAUAUUACAUUACAUUUUCAUUCUCUUUUUAGCUUCCAAAUACAAUCCGAUUUAACAUAGUUAUUACAACUUUAUUUUUUUCAUCACUAAACCCCUAAGUAGCCGACUCAGGAUACUGCUAUUUCUGGUCUCAAUGGUAGGGCGCUAUCUACGGAGCUAUGCCCUUUCCUCGCGCAGCCGCGCCGAUCACGUGUGAACCAGUACCCCCAAAAACAACACGAGGGUGAGAACUAUUGUCCAUAGUUCCUAGCGGGUACGACCACCCAAGAAAAAAACUCAACCCACCAGGUCUAAAGGAGGCACUGCAAACAUGUUAGUCCAACAAAUAUCCACAGAUAUAUAAUGUAUGCAACUAACAAUUAUCAUGUUCAUGCCUCACAAUAUGCAAUAUGCAAAUCAUGCAACUCAUACAAGUAGAUUAAUUGGUUCUACUCUCUAUCAUUUGCCAUUCGUUAUAUUGUUAGCAAUUCUUAAUCACUUGUCAUUUUUUACUACUUGCAAUUCUUUAUUCUUUGACAUUCUUUAUUAUUAGCCACUCUUUAUCGCUAGCCGUUCUCUAACGCUAGCUAUUUCUUAUUACUAGCCGUUCUUGAUUCUUAGCCAUUCUUUAUUAUUGCUAUACUUUAGCAUUAGCCGUUUUUUAUUCUUUAUUCGUUAUUCAUUACUAAGGGUACUCACAGCUUAGCCAUAUUAUACACAUUUGCCAUUCUUUCCUAAGGUUACUUUACCUUAGCCAAUUAUGCCACUCGACUCGGUCUUGAGUCAAUCAACUGCGGAUAAUCCGCGCUCUGUCCGGCUCGAGGUGAAGGAACUCUCACAUACACCUCAGCCUUCAAUCCACAAACCACAUCGCCCAACGAGUCGCCCAGUGCUGCGUACACCUGUUGUCAGGGAUCUCCCGGUGGGAGAGGAACAUACCGCAUACACCCGCAGCCGAGACCCCCGAUAGGGAGAGGAACAUGCCACAUACACCCUAGCGCUCAAUCUCAAUCCUCGAAGUUCUUCAGGUGGGAAAAGAACAUGCCAGAUACACCGGCGGCCAAGAAAUAUCGAGCUCAUAUACUGCACUAGCAGCCACUGCACUCGCAGCCGAGAUUCCGAAAUCCACUUUCACAACUCUAGGGUUGGCCUCACCCUAUAGUAUCGGCCUAUCUAGGUCCAAGCAUUUACUCAACCUAAGUUUAAUACAUUAGGUUCGUUGCCACUAUACUCAUAGCCUAGGUUCAUUAACACUAGGUUCCAUAUUCUUACUACCUAGGUUCAUUUGGCUCUAGGUUCAAUGUCACUAUAUUCAUAACCUAGGUUUACUUGACUCUAGGUUCAAUUCUUAACCUAUGUUUAAUACAUUAGGUUUUAUUGCCACUCGUGUUCUUGUUUUCGUAGUUGUCCACACCUAGAAAUUAUACUUGACAUCCACUCAUGAAUCACCUAUGUUCAAUGACACUAGGUUUUAUUGCUACUCUUGUCCUUAUUAUUUAUACUUAGGAUUCUUAGUUUACAAGCUAUACUUGUCGAGUUCUUUACUCUACUUAGAGUUCAUCGAUCUAAGUUCUCAUUCUCCAAGGAUGGUCCAUACACAACAGUACUUGCAUUCAUGUAGCAUUUAGUUUAUGCACUAACUUAGUAUAUACUCUAUGCAUUCAUUUACACUUUUCGCAUGCAUUUAUUAAUAGCAUCUUAAUCAUGCAUUUAUAUAAUAUCUAUGUCAUUCAUGUUAUUUAGCAUCUAGCUCAUGUAUUUUGCUAACAUGUCUCAUGCAUUCAUUUGCACCUAUCACAUGCAUUCUUUAGCCUCCACUUCAUGCACUUAUGUAUCUUCUCAUGGUAGGUAAUAACAUCAAGCAUUAUAUGAUUUAUGUACUACAUAUUAUCACAUACAACCUACCAACUACACAUGCAUCAACAAUAUUCACACUUCACUUUGGCAUGAAAGUGAGCUAAACAUUUCGGUGAGCACAACCCACCUCAAAUUGCUUUUCGAUUGCUUGUAGUCACUUGCAAUCAGCCUCCCGCAGCACACGUUGCCCGGUUCGGCCCGAACUCACACUCGACCACCAAACGACCACCAAUCUACAAUUCGAAAAUUUAAUGUCUAUAACUUGAUGCCACGAUGCUCCGGAUCCGUUCUUGUGAUUUUUGGACGUCGCCUCGGCCCUCCAGGCGGAAACGAAGCCAAAACGUCUGUUUCUUCAAUAUCUUCAGGUAGGCUCGACGAAUCGCCGAACCGACUUCGCCAACGCUUCGGAAAUACCUUCAAUUAGGUUUAUUUAGGGUCAAUUUACAUUUAGACCCAUCUAUGACAAAAGCCCCAAUUUUGAUGCCCUAACAAUGUCAUUUGGCCAAUAUACAAUUUUGAUCUCUAAAACAAGCAAAUGCAAGCUUGUUGAACCUCUAGGAAUCCAUCUAGAACCAUUUAAAUCAUUCUUAGGAUGUUUAGAACAAACACUAGAAAUCCACCAUGAGAGCACUAUGAAGAAAAUAUGGUUUUCAUGUGUUCCAUGGCCACUACUAGGUUUCCUCUCAUGUAAGAAGAAGAUCAAAACCAAGUGUUCUAGGGUAUAAAACUAAACCCUAAGAUCAAUCUUAGAAGAAACCUCAUCUUAGCCUAUGGACUCCACAAGCUCCACCUUGUAGGAGAGCUUUAGAUCUUCCAAUCUCCAAAAUCUCCUCCAAAUCCUCCUCUUGAUUUCCUCCUUUCCACCUUGGAGGAGAGUUUCUAGAGAGAGAGAGAGGGAGAAAAUGGGAGAGGAGAUGAGUUCUCAGCUGGGAAUAAGAGAAAAGAGGGGUUGGGGGCUUAUAUAGGCUGUUACAUUUGCAAAUAAGUCCUCCUUCUUUUCACAUUUGCAGCAGACCAACCUGCUGUUUUCGCAGCAUUGUGUACCGGUACACAUAAGGGGUGUCACCGGUAACACGAUCUCGCAGAACCAAACCCGAGAGCAGCUUCUCGGGUUUUUACACUGUGUACUGGUACCUUUUUAAUCUGUCACCGGUUAACAGUCUUUUUAGGACUUAGCCAAUUUUUUCAGCUUUUCUUCGUUUUCGCUCGUUUUCGCUCGUUAGGCCUCCGAUUCAUCUCAAAUGGCACCGAGACCCCCGAAACAAGUUUUCGAGCGUGUUUCAACCAUCUUUUCAUCCAUGCUUAUGUCUGAUUUUGUCCAUGGUCCCACAUAGCUUUUCGGGCUCCGUUUUCACGCCCAACGCACACCGAAACACCCGAAUGCUCCCGAACUUCAAUCUCGUAUUGUUUUGACUCCAAUUUGCGCUGAGCAAUGCUAAAACCUUUCCAACUCCCUUGGAACUCAACUUUAACCUUUCCAAUAUUGUUGGAAUGUUAAAUAGACUUUGUCUAACUAUUCCUUUCGCACACUUUAGUUAAUUUGACUAACGUUCGAUAUUCUCUACCGAGUUUCGGUAUGUUACAGGUUUGGUCACUGCAAUGGUGUUCUUUUUUGAAAAAGUGAUCAUAUUUUCAUCCCGUAAGCCCUAUGCAGGUUAUUUGCUAGGGUUAUAUACCGAUAGGUGAGCAGAUUAGGGCAUUGUCUGAGGUCAUUAAACCAACAUGGCGGUUUGAUUAUGUAUAUUUAGACUGUUCAUCCGGUUGAUGUGUAUUUGCAUUUAAUAUUACAGUAGUAAUUAGUUCUAUAUCUGUUGAUUUGUUUCCUUUCAGCUCGUUAUUGCUAUUGUCUUUGUUAUACCUAUUCAUAUAAGUUGAUUACUAUCUCUUAUUUGCCGGUGAGUAUAGCUUGCCUUUGUCGGCUUGCGUUACCCACUGGAAAACAUGUAAACAUGUUUCUGACCCCCUGUUUGUACAGGCGACAUGUGAGAUGAGGGUUGAGAUGGUGCGUGAGAUUGGCACUAGAUAGUUGUGUCCCAAAUCUAAUCGCCGAUGACUUUUAUUUCCUAUAUUCCUUUCAAUUUACUAUCAGUUCAGUAUGGUUAGUUCAUUGGUUUAGAUUCAUUUUGGUUUAGUUUUAGUUCAUUAUGUAUUUAUUAAUAAUGAUGAAAUAAUUGUGGUUUAUUUAUCCGGUCAAUUACUUGUCAUAUGGAUUAUCGUUGGAUGAUUAGCUUUAUUCUGUUAUUACUCUACAAUAGAUGUUUAGUUAUACACAUUCUGUACCAAUCUGCUAGUUGUUUGUAUUGUAUUCUGUGUAGUUGUAUGUGUGGUUGAUGUUGUAUUGCAGGUGCUACAUCGUGAAUGUAUAGGAAAAAUUCUGUCCAUUUGUACAGAGGACCUUUUGUCUAUGUUGCGAGUCUACACAUGUUUUAGGGUGGUGCCUUUGGUGAUCGUUUUUAAAAAGUUUACACAUUUUUCGCUGAUUUCCGUAAAAAGGAUUUUACAAAAAAAACCCCGGGGUGUGAUAGGUGAUCCUUGAUAUUCUUAGAACUUCAAGAAAAUCCUAAAAAGGAGUUUUAACCGAGUUAGAACCCUCAAAUCUCACAUUUGAGAAAACUCCAAAAAAAACCCUAAAAACACCAAUUCACAUCUUCUCUUCUAACAAGAGAAACGUGGGUGAAGUAGACCUCUUCUCCCUUUUAGAACUUCCUUUUGAAGCCUUUUAUCUUCUGGAAGCCUCCAACCAAGUGGAUCUUCAAGAUCCAACGAUAGGGAUUUUAGGACACUGUUGCUUGAGGAAGAGAGGAGAAAGAGAGAGAGGUUGGAAGGGGGAAAUAGGUUGGAAAAUUAGGGUUUGUUGUGAAAACCCUAUUUAUAGAGGUGCUAUAAUAGCACAAAAUUUCUCAACCUUUCAAAUUGCAACCAGACAAAUCAAUGCUUUUAUGCUAGGUUUGGGUCCCUCGCCCGAACUUUUGUGUGCCCGAAUCUGUCGUAGUUGUGUCCGGUCCAGAAUCUGGAUGCCCACUCAACCUGCCUGAUUCACGAAUUGUACGCCCGCAGGAGAAAUCGGGCGUUUGAUUCCAUAAUUCUUCACGCGAACUUGCACUCUUGGGUUGAGCAUCCAAAAAUCAUUCGGGCGCCCACAAGGGAUCGCCGAAAAGUUGUUUUGGACGCCUACAGGGCAUUUCGGACGCUUGAAAACAAAGUCUUUCGCAUUCCAGUGCUCAGGUUGGGAGUCCGGAGGGGUUUCGAGCGCUCUCGAGUGAGAUUCGAAAUGAUUUGAGUGCCCACUGGGCAAUCUGUGUGCCUAAAAUUGGGCCUCCCACCAACUCUGCUCUCUGGAAAAGCGUCUACUCAUUCCGAGCACUGCAUCAAGCUGUUCAAAACUAUUUCAAGUGCCCAAAUCUCUGCUCCAGGCAUUCAAAAGGAUUGGUACUCAAUUUUCUUCUAUUUCGGAACUCUGUUUCGAUACUAAUUGAUUCCAAUACAAUCCAAACUCAGUCUAGAUUCCUUUAAGGCCACUUUAUUCAUGUCUAACAUAACUCAAUUAACACUUUGUCAUUUUAGCCAAAGUUUGGUGCAUCAGGAAAAGAGAUGUGAGAAGGGGUUGGCUAUCAAAAAGUUAUUUAUAGGUGUGCUAUAUUUGCACAUGAACCCUCCAAUUAAUCAUAUUUAAUUUAGGAUUUGCUAUAGAUAAAGGUCAAUCCUAACAGAUUUAGAACUACUUGAUAUGGUAUAUUUUAUCCCUAUCCCAUCUAUUUCAGAUUUAAAUAGAAUCCUAAUCAGAUUUUCAUGGGAAGUCGAUCUGGACUCUAUAUAAAGGUGUAUUAGUUCUGGCAUCUUCUCAUACGCAUUCUGGUGAAGAAUUACCGUCGGUUCCACACCAUACGGUAGAGUGCCUGAGAUAGGAGGAGAAACCAAAUCACCCAAGUUCGGUUCGUGACUUUCAAAUCAUAGCCUGACUUCACGUUUCCGCAAGUUGAUCAGGAAUUUCUUCUCGAUGGCGCUCUGUGAGUUAUCUUAUAUUCUUGUUUUGAUCCUGGAUUUUGGUAUGUAUUUAUUUCUCUAUUUAUUUUACAUACCUUAAAUUUCUAUCAAUUUGGUAUCAGAGACAUGUUCAAAAAUUAAUACUUUUUGCGCAAUAUUUAAUUGCAUAGAAAAUUAUUAAUAUGCCUAACGUGCAUAUCAUAGUUUAUAUUCAUCUCCCAUAACUAUGGAAUUAUUCAUCGUCGUGGACAUGCAUAAAAUUUAAUUGUUUAAUCUCGCGGUGGCCGCAUGCUCCGGCCACCUGUUUAAUUGUUGAUCUCACGGUGGCGGCAUACUUUGGCCGCGUGUUCGCAUGUAUAAAGUUUAAUUGCUACGUGCAUCGUCCGAAAGAUUGACGCCGAUGAAUAGUAUAAAUUUUGUUAUGAUUCGGUUGUAGUUCAUAGACUAAUUAAUUAAUACCAACUUUAUUUUGCAUGUGCGUUUUACUCCUAUAUUUGGCUCGCAUCAAGUUAUAAUCUGAUAUGGCCGUAUGAACCAUGACGAUGGUGGAAUUCUCAGCCUACAUGUUUUUUGUGGGCACGGAAACUUUUGCGUAUGAGCGUAUGACUCAUGUUGAGAAUAAUCAGUUUGCCACGUCACAUGUCAUGGCCAGGAUAAUUUUGUUGUGCGUACGGCUUUUCUUCUUGAUGCGUGCUAAUUAUAUAUUAAUUAUUUGUUAAUUAAUGAUGUUUCGAUUCAUAAAGACAUUAUGUUUUAUAAUGUGAUGUGGAUAUGUAGAAUUUGUUCACAUAAGAUUUUAAUCUCGCAUUAGUUUAUUUUAUAUCUGUGGUCAAAUUAGAAUAUAUAAAGUUUAAAUUUGAUUGCGAUUUUAUAUUUUAAAUUAUCGCAUUUAUAUUCAUAUUUUGACUAGAUGAACAUGAAAUUUAAAUAAUCAUAAUUAUUUUCGAUUAUUUAAUAUUUGGCACUAAGUUAAAUUAAUUUAUUUUUUUGAUUGGUUAGGUGCAAGCCAAAGUGGCCCUAAUUAAAAGAAAUAAUGAUUUCAUUUACUUUAAAGUAGCGUUUCCGGAUAAUUUUUAUGUUAAUUAUGCAGCACUAAGUCAGAUUAAUUUAUUGCUUCGACUGUUCGGGUGCAGGCCAAAGCGGCCCCGACCGGAAGAAAAGAUAAAUUAAUUACUUUAAAGAAGUGCAUGCGAAAAUUGCACCCUGAUAUUAUGUUUAGUCUGCUUCCAAAGGAGGUCUAGACAUGAAGGUAAAUGGGUGGUAUAGGAUGGUAAUUUUCUUGUAACUCGUUUGGAGAAAUUUGUCUGGCCAACGCUGACAAUUUCUUCAUGUGGAAAAUUUGAAAUUAUCACGACCUACAGAAAGUUUAAAUUAAUCUCUGAUAAACAGAUUGCAUAUUUAUGCUCAUAACUCUGCUCCCAAAGGAGGGGUUGUGAUGUCAUAUAAAGUAUAUGCGUAAGGAAUGAUUGCAUAUUUAUGCUCAUAACUCUGCUCCCAAAGAAGGGCUUGUGAUGUCAUAUAUAGCAUAUGCAUAAAGAACGAAAAAAUACUUAUGUUCAUAACUCUGCUCCCAAAGGAGGGGUUGUGAUGUCAUAUAAAGUGUAUUUGUUUAAUUUUGGUGUGGUAAUUUAUUAUGUGGUAUUUUAUUAAUAAAGCAUGCAUUUUAUUUUUCAGCUAUGACUCCAUUUUCUGUUCCUAUUGGUGAAUCUGUUCCUAUACUUAAUGGUUCUAAUUAUUCAGAGUGGAAAGAACAGAUCAUAUUUAUUUUGGGCUAUAUGGAUUUAAAUUUGGCUCUGUGUGCUGAGCAACCGCCUAAGAUAGUGAGGCCAAUGACUCCACAGCAGGAAUCCGUACAGGAAAAGUGGGAGUGAUCCAACCGCUUAAGUUUGAUGCUCAUAAAGUCAAGGAUAUCAAAAAGCAUAAGGGGAUCAAUCCCAGAAUGUGAUAAAGCCAAGGAUUAUCUAAAGGCCGUUGAGGAGCAGUUUGUCAGCUCCGAUAAAGCCUUUGCGAGCACCUUAAUGAAUAAACUGUCUUCCAUGAAAUACUCCGGAAAUGGCUCGAUUCGCGAGCAUAUUAUGGAAAUGCGAGAUAUUGCAGUGCAACUCACCGCACUUGAAGUAACUGUGACGCCCCGACUUCCCAGGGGGUCACCCAUCCUAGGACUACUCCCGUCCUAGCACGCUUAACUCUCUUAACCUCUUGGGCCUUACCACCACCCAAAAUGCUUAAGCCGGAUUAAGAGUUUAGCCCUAUUAUAUCUCAUAUAUAGGACUAUCUGGGGUCUCACAGUAACCAUCUCUGAUUCAUUCUUAGUGCACUUUAUUUUGAACUCUUUGCCAUCUGAAUACGAACCAUUUCAGAUAUCUUAUAACACACAUAAAGAUAAAUGGUCAAUUAAUAAAUUGCUGACCAUGUGUGUGCAAGAGGAAGGCGGAUUAAUACAAGAGAAACAAAAUACAGCCAACUUUGUUUCUCAAAGAGAUAAAUAAAGCGUGCGAAGAAUGGCAAGGGCAAGAAUGACUCAAAAAGAAAGAACAAGAAAGUUCCAUCUGGUUCACAAGGCCAAUCAAGUAAUUGGACUCUCAAGUGCUUCUUUUGUAAGAAAAAGGGUCAUAUAAAGAAUGACUGCCAAAAGUAUCAAAAAUGGCUCCAGAAGAAAGGUAAAUUUCUGGUUUUGAUGCAUGAGUUGCAUUUAGUUUCAGUUCCAUCAAUACUUGGUGGAUUGACUCUGGUGCCACAUGCCACGUGGCAAAUUCCGUGCAAGGAUUUCAGAAUCGCAGAAAAUCCAGUAAAGAUGAAGCGACUAUCUAUACAGCUGAAGGAAAUCCAACUAAAGUAGAAUUUGUAGGAACAUUUAGAUUAGUUCUUUCUACUGGUUACAUUUUGGAUUUAGUUGAUACAUUUUAUGUUCCAAAUUUUUCUAAGAAUUUAAUUUCUAUUUCGAAACUUGUUGGAUUGGGAUAUAGUUUCAGUUUUAAUAAUAAAGUUUUUUCUUUAUCCUAUAAAUCUCAGAUAGUUGGCUCUGGUGUUUUGGAAAAUAAUCUAUAUAAAAUAUUUUUGGAUGAUUCAUAUAGUGAAAUCUUUCUUACCAUGCACAGAAAUGUUGGAUCAAAAACGUGGCAUUAACAAUGAAAGGUCAUCCAUGUUAUGGCACAAGAGGUUAGGACAUAUCUCGAAACAGAGAAUCCAAAGGUUAAUUAGAGAAGACAUUUUAGAUGAUUUGGACUUCUCUGACUUUGAAAUAUGUGUGGACUGCAUAAAGGGAAAGCAGACCAAAACUUCCUCUAAAGGUACUAAAAGAUGUGAUGGAACAUUAGAGUUGAUUCAUACCGAUAUAUGCGGACCUCCUUUUGUUUCAAUUACUGGCCAUAAAUAUUUUAUCACAUUCACUGAUGACUACUCUCGAUAUGGCUAUCUCUACUUGCUUAAAGAAAAAUCUGAAGCAUUAAAUGCCUUUAAGGCAUAUAAGACUAAAGUAGAGAAUCAACACGAGAAAAGGAUAAAAGUAGUCAGAUCAGAUAGGGGUGGUGAAUAUUUUGGUAGACAAACAGAUAAAGGCCAAAUCCCUGGGCCUUUUGCUAAAUUUCUAGAGCAGUGCGGAAUUGUUCCACAGUACACCAUGCCAGGAACACCUGACCAGAAUGGUGUUGCUGAAAGAAGAAACCGCACAUUAAUUGAUAUACUCAAGAGUAUGAUUAGUAAUUCUACCCUUCCGAUAUCAUUGUGGAGUGAGGCACUCAAAAUAGCCCUGUAUAUUCUUAAUUGGAUCCCUACUAAGGCUGUCACUAAGACUCCUUUUGAGUUUUGGAUAGGUAGGAAACCCAGUUUAAGACAUUUUCAUACUUGGGGUUGUCAAGCUGAGGCCAAAUUAUAUGAUCCACAAAUAAAGAAAUUGGAUCCUAGAACCAUAUCAGGAUAUUUUAUUGGCUAUUCAGAAAGAUCCAAGGGGUAUAAGUUUUACUGUCCAUCACUUUCUAUAAAGAUUGCAGAAACUAAAAUAACACGGUUUAUUGAGGAUGGUGCAAUUAGUGGGAGCUUUGAACCUUGGUUCAAUGAGUUUGAGGAAAUUCAAGAACAUUCGGAUUCUGUACAUGAUAGACCCACUAUUGUCCCUCUCGAUUUGAUGGUUCCUAUUCCAGUAGAACAACAAAUCGUUUUGGAACCACAAAAUCAUUGUGAACCUAUCAUUGAUAAUUCACAUCAAUAUGUACAAAUGGAAAAUUCACAUCAAAUGUACAAGUGAAUAAUCCAUAUCAAGAUGUACAUGUGGAUAAUCAUAUAGAUUUAAGAAGAUCCUCAAGACAGAGAAGACCGGCUAUAUCCAGUGAUUAUAUCGUCUAUCUUUAUAAGAAUGGCCAGAGUUUAGAUGAUCCUCUUAAUUUUUCCGAAGCCAUAAAUAGUAAUAAUUCUACGGAAUGGUACAAUGCCAUGAAGGAUGAGAUAGAAUCCAUGAACCACAAUAAGGUGUGGGAUCUUAUUGAGUUACCUAUAGGAGUUAAACCCAUAGGAUGCAAAUGGGUUUAUAAAAUCAGAUGGGACUACAAAGGUAACAUAGAGAGAUACAAAACCCGUCUUGUGGCAAAAGGAUUUACUCAGAAAGAAGGUAUUGACUAUAAAGAGACUUUUUCUCCACUAUCUAGAAAGGAAUCUUUCCGUAUUAUUAUGGCUCUGGUUGCUCAUUUUGAUCUCGAGCUAUAUCAGAUGGAUGUCAAAACUGCUUUUUAAAUGGGGAUCUCUAUGAAGAGGUGUAUAUGUAUCAACCUGAAGGAUUCUCGCAAAAGGGAAAGGAGCACUUGGUAUGCAAAUUAAAGAAAUCAAUAUAUGGACUAAAGCAGGCCUCCCGACAAUGGUAUUUAAAUUUAAACAAACUAUUUUAACUUUUGGUUUUAAGAAAAACAUUGUUGAUCAAUGUAUUUAUUUAAAAGUUAGUGGGAGUAAAAUAAUUGUCUUUAGUCAUUUAUGUUGAUGAUAUUUUGCUUGCCAGUAAUGAUCUUGGGCUAUUGCAUAACACUAAAGAAUUUCUUUUCCAAAAUUUUAAAAUGAAAGAUUUAGGUGAGGCCUCAUAUGUUCUUGGUAUUGAAAUCAAAAGGGAAAGACAUAAAGGUUUACUCAGUCUAUCUCAAAAGGCCUACAUAAAGAAAGUUUUGAAAAAUUUUGAAAUGCAUAAUUGUAAGCCCAGUGUUGCUCCUGUCCAGAAAGGGGAUAAGCUUAAUUCUUUUCAGUGUCCCAAGAACCAAUUAGAAAUUGAACAGAUAAAAAACAUAUCCUAUGCCUCUACAGUUGGUAGUCUUGUGUAUGCACAAUUGUGCACACGUCCGGAUAUUGCUUUUGCCAUUGGAUUAUUUGGCAGAUAUCAAAGUAAUCCAGAUAUGAAGCAUUGGAAGGCUACUAAGAAGGUUGUGAGGUAUUUGAAGGAAAUUUUGGAUCAUAUUGCAUGUUACGAUACCACAUCACAGGCUUUUUGGCUUAGGAGUUUUAUCACAGACUUAAGAAUUGUGGACUCCGGUGUUUAUCCAAUAAAGAUUUUCUGUGAUAGUUCAGCUGCGAUUUCCUUUGCAAAUAACAACAAGAUUACAGUGGGGUGUAAACACUUGGACACUAAAUUUCUUGUUGUGAGAGAGAAGAUAGAUGAAGGUUAUAUUACAAUUAAAUACAUCAGUACCAAGUGAAUGAUUGCAGACCCAAUGACCAAGGGGUUGGCACCUGGGUCAUAUACGGAUCAUGUUAGAAAUAUGGGCUUGAUUAGUUCUUUCGAUGUAUAAAAUUGUAAUACUUAUUUUCUUUCAAUAAAGUUAAAGUUUAAUGCAGCUGUGUUGGACCAUUUAAUAGAUGUAAAAUUUCGUCUAUUAACGAAUGAAUAUACAGUUUAAGUUCAUUCAUAAAGUUGUGUCAUAUAAAGUACUCGGCUAGAAGGUGAAGAUGAUACGGUAAUUAUGGAAGAAAAUUUUCGUUAUGAAGAGGUGGACCGCCAUAGUUCCUAUCAUUGUAGUCUUUUAGUUUGAGCUAAAGAUCAAGCGAGUUCUAAGGUAUUUGACCAUAAAGUUUCCAAUAAUGCGCAAUAGAGAUUGGAGUAUAGAAAAUCGGUUAAUGGAAUAUGAUUAAUAUGAGCUAAGUGGGAGAUUGUUAGGAUUUCUAUAUAUUGUGGCCCAAUUAAUCAUAUUUAAUUCAGGAUUUGCUAUAGAUAAAGGUCAAUCCUAACAGAUUUAGAACUACUUGAUGUGGUAUAUUUUAUCCCUAUCACAUCUAUUUUAGAUUUAAAUAGAAUCCUAAUCAGACUUUGAUGGGAAGUCGAUCUGGACUCUAUAUAAAGGGGUAUUGGUCCUGCCACCUUCUCAUACGCAUUCUGGUGAAGAAUUCCAUCGGUUCCACACCAUACGGUAGAGUGUCUGAGAUAGGAGGAGAAACCAAAUCACCCAAGUUCGGUUCGUGACUUUUAGAUCAUAGCCUGACUUCACGCUUCCGCAAGUUGAUCAGGAAUUUCUUCUCGAUGGCGCUCUGUGAGUUAUCUUAUAUUCUUGUUUUGAUCCUGGAUUUUGGUAUGUAUUUAUUUCUCUAUUUAUUUUACAUACCUUGAAUUUCUAUCAGAUCCUUGAUAUUCUUAGAACUUCAAGAAAAUCCUAAAAAUGAGUUUUAACCGAGUUAGAACCCUCAAAUCUCACAUUUGAGAAAACUCCAAAAAAAACCCUAAAAACACCAAUUUACGUCUUCUCUUCUAACAAGAGAAACGUGGGUGAAGUAGACCUCUUCUCCCUUUUAGAACUUCCUUUUGAAGCCUUUUAUCUUCUGGAAGCCUCCAACCAAGUGGAUCUUCAAGAUCCAACGAUAGGGAUUUUAGGACACUGUUGCUUGAGGAAGAGAGGAGAAAGAGAGAGAGGUUAGAAAGGGAAAAUAGGUUGGAAAAUUAGGGUUUGUUGUGAAAACCCUAUUUGUAGAGGUGCUAUAAUAGCACAAAAUUUCUCAACCUUUCAAAUUGCAACCAGACAAAUCAAUGCUUUUAUGCUAGGUUUGGGUCCCUCGCCCGAACUUUCGUGUGCCCGAAUCUGUCGUAGUUGUCCGGUCCAGAAUCUGGAUGCCCACUCAACCUGCCUGAUUCACGAAUUGUACGCCCGCAGGAGAAAUCGGGCGUUUGAUUCCAUAAUUCUUCACGCGAACUUGUACUCUUGGGUUGAGCAUCCAAAAAUCAUUCGGGCGCCCACAAGGGACCGCCGAAAAGUUGUUUCGGACGCCUGCAGGGCAUUUCGGACGCUUGAAAAUAAAGUCUUUCGCAUUCCAGUGCUCAGGUUGGGAGUCAGGAGGGGUUUCGAGCACUCUCGAGUGAGAUUCGAAAUGAUUUGAGUGCCCACUGGGCAAUCUGUGCGCCUAAAAUUGGGCCUCCCACCAACUCUGCUCUCUGGAAAAGCGUCUACUCAUUCCGAGCCCUGCAUCAAGCUGUUCAAAACCAUUUCAAGUGCCCAAAUCUCUGCUCCAGGCAUCCGAAAGGAUUGGUAUUCAAUUUUAUUCUAUUUCGGAACUCUGUUUCGAUACUAAUUGAUUCCAAUAUAAUCCAAACUCAGUCUAGAUUCCUUUAAGGCCACUUUAAUCAUGUCUAACAUAACUCAAUUAACACUUUGUCAUUUUAGCCAAAGUUUGGUGUAUUAGGAAAAGAGAUGUGAGAAGGGGUUGGCUGUCAAAAAGUUAUUUAUAGGCAUGCUAUAUUUGCACAUGAACCCUCCAAUUCGUCAAAUUUGCAUUUAAAAGGAUUGCUGCCUCCACACCAGGUUUCAAGCGCCCGCUUGAUCUUUCUGGCCGGCAGGUUUACUCUGGGAUCCCGAAUUGAGCAUUGGAAAAUUGAUCUAGGUGCCCACCCAACCAUCUUGUAGUAGAUUCAGAUGCCCAUAAGGCAAACUGGGCUACCGAAUAUUUAAUGAUUCGAGCGAUCCAUCCUCUCAGGUAGAUCAUCCGGAAGCAAAAUUAAUCAUCCGUGAGAUAGCCUGAAUGAUUUCGGACACCCCCAGAAAGAUGCGAAUGCCCGAAUAUUUAACAGUCUACGCACCUUUGCUCUCGGGUAUAGUGUCCGCUAAGAAACGGGUGCUCGAUUGAACGAUCCGUAAGUCUUCGAGCACCCGAAAUAUUUUUCAUGCAUCCGGAAAGACUGGAAAAUUUAUUUCCUCUUUUUUUGAAGCCCGGAGUCGGUCCUAAUUGGUUCCAACUCUCAUCUCACUCAAUCUAGACUUCUCCAAAUCUAUUUUAACCAUGUCUAGCAUGAUCUUAAACCUCAUUUUGCCUAUUAGGCCAAACUUCAGUGUAUCUUACUGAAUUUCAGUAUAUUACAUCUACAUAUUGAAAUUUUAUAAUAGUUAAAUCAAUCAACUCUUACAUCAUAUUCUUGUAUUUUUUAAAUUUUAAAUUUUAAAUUUUAAAUUAUUAUUUUUAAUUAUCUAAAUUUUAAAUUUGACAUUUUAUAUUUGUAACUUGAGAUUUGAUUUAAAAUUUAAAAUUUAAAAGUUAUAACUUUAUUUUUAAAUUUGAGAUUUAAAAAUAUAGAUUUUAAUUUUGAAUUUUUUAGUUGUAAAAGUUAUCUAUUUAAAUUUAAAAAUUUAAAUAUAAAAUAAAAAAAUUUAAAUAUAAAAUAUAAUAAUUGGGGCAAUAUUAUUAUUUUCUAUUUAUAACUAUCCACUAUUUUUCUUAUUCUAUCUUAUUUAUCCAAACGCUAUUUUUCUUAAUCCUGGAAACAACUCAAUUAUCAUCCAAACGCAAAAUUGGUCUAUUCCAGACUUAACCCUAAACUUAACCAUCUCUAAAAUAACUAGUUCUUACUUAACUCCGAACCAAACGAAGCCUUAGGGGUUAAUUUCAUACAGGUCCCUACAAAUAUAGUGAAUUGCAAAUAUAUCCCUUAUAAAGUUCAACUUUCAUAUGUUGUCACUACAAAAGUCCUGAUGUUUUCAAAUAUAAUCCUGCCGUUAGAAUCCGUUAGAAAGUUUUAGUUAACCACAUAGGUUAAAUACCGAACCCUGAUUAUUAAUAAGGUGAAUUGACCUUUUUACCAUUUUCAAUUAACAUAGAGGGAUAUAUUUGUGAUGGUAAAAAGGCUAUUUUACUUAUAAAAUAGACAGUGCCUUAACGGUAACAAACCAGAGGGACAUAUUUAAAAAUAUUAGGGAAAACUUCAAAAACCCCCCUGUGGUUUCACACUUUUUCAUUUUAGUACCCUGUGGUUUGAAGUGUAUCAAGUUAGUACCCUGUGGUUUCUCACUUUAUCACUUUAGUACCCUGUGGUUUAAAAUGUAUCAAGCUAGUACCCUGUGGUUUUGCACUUUAUCACUUUAGUACCCUGUGGUUUCACACUUUAUCACUUUAGUACCUUGUGAUUUAAAAAACUAUAGGGUACUAACUUGAUACAAAAUUAAAACCACAGGGUACUAAAGUGAUAAAGUGCAAAACCACAGGGUACUAACUUGAUACACUUUAAACCACAGGGUACUUAAGUGAUAAAGUGAGAAACCACGGGGUACUAACUUGAUACAUUUUAAACCACAGGGUAUUAAAGUGAAAAAAAUUGAAACCACAAGGGGGGUUUUUGAAGUUUUCCCAAAAUAUUAUAACUUUUGUAUAGACAACAUAUGAAAGUUGAACUUUGUAGGGAUAUAUAUUUGCAAUUUGCUAUAUUUGUAGGGACCUGUAUGAAAUUAAUCCAAAAACUAUAUAGUGUUGCUAAAAUCCUAAUAACCUUUAGAUUAACAAUUGUAAUCUUUACAUCUUCUUUUUGAUUGUAGACUUGGGAUUCAUUUGGGAUUUGCUGGGAGAUUGUAUUACGCACGGUGGAAAAGUAAAAAAAUAAAAAAUAAAAAAAUAUUUUUUUGUAUGGCAUUCUGCAUAUCAUAAUAAAUCGGGUAUGAUAUAUUUUGUGCGAUACCACCAGAGAAAGCUGAAGCAUGUCUCUAUAUUCUUUCAUUUUAUUCAUCUAUUAAUCUUAGAUGGGCCUCAACACCAAACUUAAGUAUUUCUCUUAAAUUUUUACGAUGAAAAUGUAUGAAGCCCCCUCACCUCUAGGCCAUUCUAAAAUGAGCAUCCUCUAUUCUAAUUUUUUUUUGUUUUAACAAUCGAGUAAUUUUUAUCAACUAAAUUGGAAAUUUUAUCAAAUUUGUGGCGAUUUUAGCAAAUUUAAUGGUUUUGAUCACUAUUACCCAAAUGAGACUAGAAAAGUCAACAACCCAUGGCUACCGGUCAACUUAAAACUUGAGGAGGGUGUCAAUAAAAUAAAAAGUAAAAAUUAGAAGUUGAGGGGGCCAUUUCAAAAUUAGAAUAUAUUUUCCCCCUUAAACACUAGACACUGCAAGUAAACAAGUAAAAACUCUGAUCAGUGCAAAGAUUAAGGCAACCCUCAUUGUCUCAAAGUUAGAAUAUUUUUACCCCCAUAAUUUAUGCCACCACACACUACACAAGAUUUUUUUUAAUUAAAUUUGGCAAUUUCUUUUUCCAUUUAAAUCCUAAUUCUCCCUUUCCACAUUCUGUUUCUCUCCAUUUUCUUGCUACUCUCCCUCUCUCUCUCUCAAAUUAAAAAAAAAAAAAAAAAAAAAAAAAAAAAAAAAAAAAAAAAAAAAAAAAUAAGAAUCUAUUAUAUAGAUAGAUAUUGAAGUUAUAUCUCGGAUUCCAAAAAAAGAGAAUCAUUUCUUUCAAUACUCACUUAUUAUUAGUUAACAAUCCUAAUCCUCAUAUGCUUAAUUCUGAUAGGAAAUAAAUAGUAAAAUAAUUAUUCAUCGAAUGACUAUUCAUCUAUUGUAUUUUCAUCAAAUAGGGGCAGAAAGUUCUAUGAAAAAUGGUGGUUCAAUUCGAUGUUGUCUAACGAAAGUUAGGCAAUUUUUUAUUAAAUAAAAAAUAUAAUAAUAAAAAUAAAAAAUAAAAAAACAAAAAAAACAAAUAUAAAAAGAAAAAAAUAAACACAAAUAAAAAUAGAAAAAAAAACAAAAAAAAAAAUAAAAAAAAAAAAAAAAAAAAAAAAAAAAAAAAAAAAAAAAAGAAAAAAAAAAAAAAAAAAAAAAAAUAAAAAACAAAAAAAAAAAAAAAAAACAAAAAAAACAAAAAAUAAAAUAAGAAAAUAUAGAAUAAUAAAAAUAAAUAAUAAUUAAAAAAAAUAAAAAAAAAAAAAAGAAACAAUAAAAAAAAAAAAUAAAAAAAAAAAAAAAAAAAAAAACAAAAUUUUUUUCAAUUAAAAUACAAAUUUUCAUCGAAAAGAGAAAUAGUUUAUAAAUAAAGAAUUCGUUCUCGCAUAACCUUGUAUCAUAUAAUCAAAUAAUAAGUUUAUAUUGCAACAUGGAACGAAAAAGACAAUAUACAGGAUGAGUAGAUUGGAUAGAGGGAGCCCUUACCUUAGCUUAAUCUAAGGCCUGAAACUACGAGAUAUAAAAUGAUCCACUAAUCCUAUGGAUCCUUAGGAUUAAUUAUGGAUUGGAUCCAAAAAUAAAGAAAUAUUGAGUUGUUUCGUCUUCGUUCUAUUUAGAUCUUGUAUAUACUUGUAUAUUGUAUAUACUUGUAUAUAUAGUAUAUAGGUCUGUACAUGUGAUAUGAAAGAUAUAUGCAAAUAUAUAGUAUGUUAUGUUAGUAAGCUCAUUCUUUAUUUUAUUCGGCUCAAUCCUUUUUUUUAGGAAAAGAUUGGGCCGAGUUUAAUUGCAAUCAAUUAGGAGAACAAAGAGGAAUUACUAAACUCUACACGCUUAGUUUUUAUCUUUCUAUUUCGUUUUAUCUAGCUUAUCUACCGGUUCGAAGUCGAAUUUAAUCUGUUUCCAUACUUCACAAGCAGCGGCUAGCUCAGGGCUCCAUUUGCUAGCUUCACGGAUAAUUUCAGCACCUUCACGAGCAAGAUCACGUCCUUCAUUACGAGCUUGUACACACGCUUCUAAAGCCACCCGAUUAGCUACUGCACCAGGUGCAUUUCCCCAAGGGUGCCCUAAAGUUCCUCCACCAAACUGUAGUACGGAAUCAUCUCCAAAGAUUUCGGUAAGAGCAGGCAUAUGCCAAACAUGAAUACCCCCUGAAGCCACAGGUAUAACACCUGGCAUAGAGACCCAAUCUUGAGUGAAAAAGAUACCACGACUACGGUCUUUUUCAAUAAAAUCAUCACGUAAUAAAUCAACAAAACCCAAAGUCAUCUCGCGUUCCCCUUCCAGUUUACCUACUACUGUACCAGCGUGAAUAUGAUCUCCACCAGACAUACGUAAUGCUUUAGCUAGUACACGAAAAUGCAUACCAUGAUUUUUCUGUCUAUCAAUAACUGCAUGCAUUGCGCGAUGGAUGUGAAGAAGUAGGCCAUUGUCGCGGCAAUAAUGAGCCAAACUAGUAUUUGCAGUGAAUCCCCCAGUUAAGUAAUCAUGCAUUACGAUAGGAACUCCCAAUUCUCUGGCAAAUACGGCCCUUUUGAUCAUUUCUUCACAUGUACCCGCAGUAGCAUUUAAGUAAUGUCCUUUGAUUUCACCCGUUUCGGCCUGCGCUUUAUAAAUUGCUUCGGCACAAAAUACGAAACGGUCUCUCCAACGCAUAAAUGGUUGUGAGUUCACGUUUUCAUCAUCUUUGGUAAAAUCAAGCCCACCGCGUAGACAUUCAUAAACCGCUCUACCGUAGUUCUUUGCGGAUAAUCCCAAUUUUGGUUUAAUAGUACAUCCCAAUAGAGGACGACCAUACUUGUUCAACUUAUCUCUUUCAACUUGGAUGCCAUGAGGCGGGCCUUGGAAAGUUUUUGAAUAAGAAGUGGGAAUUCGCAGAUCCUCCAGACGUAGAGCUCGUAGGGCUUUGAAACCAAAUACAUUACCUACAAUGGAAGUAAACAUGUUAGUAACGGAACCUUCUUCAAAAAGGUCUAAAGGAUAAGCUACAUAAGCAAUAUAUUGAUUUUCCUCCCCGACAACGGGCUCGAUGUGGUAGCAUCUUCCUUUGUAACGAUCAAGACUGGUAAGUCCAUCAGUCCAAACAGUUGUCCAUGUACCAGUAGAAGACUCGGCUGCUACCGCAGCCCCUGCUUCUUCAGGCGGAACUCCGGGUUGAGGAGUUACUCGGAAUGCUGCCAAGAUAUCAGUAUCUUUGGUUUCGUAUUCAGGAGUAUAAUAAGUCAAUUUGUAAUCUUUAACACCAGCUUUAAAUCCAACACUUGCUUUAGUCUCUGUUUGUGGUGACAUAAGUCCCUCCCUACAACUCAUGAAUUAAGAAUUCUCACAACAACAAGGUCUACUCGAUAUGGAUUAGGCAUGAAUGAAACCUUUAACAAAAAUCUUUCAAAAAAUAUUCAAUAUUCAAUUAAUAUUAUCAACUCAUUAAAAUGUUAUGUUAAAACGGUUUGUUAUUAGACCAUGUAUUUGAUUCACCAAAUACAUCAUUAUUGUAUACUCUUUGAUAUAUAUAGCGCAACCCAACCCAAUCCUAAUCUUUGUUUUGCAGGUUUAUAAUUGAAUUGAUCCCUUUCUUAUUUUGAAUCUAAAUAUCUAAAUACUGAGAAAAAUUCCCCCUUGACAGUAAUAUAUGUUGUAUAUGUAAAUCCUAGAUGUGAAAAUAGGCAUAAUUCAUCCACGAAAGGGUAUAAUAUAAAGACGGAAAUCUAUAUGAAAAAUCCAAAAUAAAGAACAAAGGCCAAUAAGAUCCAAAUAAUAAAUCAUAAAUCGAGUUCGGGUUCGAAUUCCAUAAGUAAUAUAAUAUGGAUCUUUUUUUAUAUAAUGAUAGAGAAAUGAAACACAUUUAUUCACGAUUUCGUCUACUUGCAAUUUUUUUUUUGAGCCUUGUUGGCUGGUCACUCGCGUCGUUUCGAGGGUUCGAAAACGACAGGUCAGCGAUGGUGGGUUCCGGUGUCGAAAUUGACACUUUCGAAAACUCGGAUCGGAACGAUUGUCCGAUGAUAAUCGUUCCGAUGUGAGGAGGUGUGUUUGCUGCCAAGUCACACGAAUAAUUGUGUUUAGUGGCAGCGGGUGACUCGUAGCAUGAGUCGGUGAGUUCCGGGAUAGUUCGUGGGUCCCGGCGGAGUCCCGGUGAGAGUUUCUGGAAUUCCGGCGAGUUACGGCAAUCGAUUUUGGGAAACCGAUUCCCAUAGGUUUAUUGGUGGGAAUGUGAGUUUGUGUUUCGUAUAUGUGGGUUGGAUACUAACCCGGUGGACCCUUUGUAGGUCCGGUUGACUUUCUUCUGCAGUCGGGAGAUUAG